CAGUCGCCGCGGUAAUACGAAGGGGGCUAGCGUUGUUCGGAUUUACUGGGCGUAAAGGGUGCGUAGGCGGACUGAUAAGUCAGGGGUGAAAUCCCAAGGCUCAACCUUGGAACUGCCUUUGAUACUGUUAGUCUUGAGUUCGAGAGAGGUAAGUGGAACUGCGAGUGUAGAGGUGAAAUUCGUAGAUAUUCGCAAGAACACCAGUGGCGAAGGCGGCUCACUGGCUCGAAACUGACGCUGAGGCACGAAAGCGUGGGGAGCAAACAGGAUUAGAUACCCCUGUAGUCCCUGUCUCUUAUAC
rnacentral:rRNA from 1 species